rfam:Lactobacillus diolivorans DSM 14421 NODE_146, whole genome shotgun sequence.
AGAACCUUUAAGAUUAACCCCGUGAGGUUAAGAAGGAAUCGUUGAACCUGGGAUAUUCUCAGGAAUAACUACAACCUCUUUACCCAACGGCGGUAAAGAGGUUUUUUCAU